rnacentral:rRNA from 1 species
AGUGAACGCUGGCGGCAGGCCUAACACAUGCAAGUCGAGCGGCAGCGCGGGGGCAACCCUGGCGGCGAGCGGCGGACGGGUGAGGAAUUCGUCGGAAUCUGCCUUUUUGUGGGGGAUAACGUAGGGACACUUACGCUAAUACCGCAUACGUCCUACGGGUGAAAGUGGGGGACCGCAAGGCCUCACGCAGAAAGAUGAGCCGACGACCGAUUAGCUAGUUGGUGGGGUAAAGGCCCACCAAGGCGACGAUCGGUAGCUGGUCUGAGAGGAUGAUCAGCCACACUGGGACUGAGACACGGCCCAGACUCCUACGGGAGGCAGCAGUGGGGAAUAUUGGACAAUGGGCGAAAGCCUGAUCCAGCCAUGCCGCGUGUGUGAAGAAGGCCUUCGGGUUGUAAAGCACUUUUGUCCGGAAAGAAAUCCCUGGAGCUAAUACCUUCGGGGGAUGACGGUACCGGAAGAAUAAGCACCGGCUAACUUCGUG